rnacentral:lncRNA from 1 species
GGGGACCAAGAUGCAAAGAUCCACUCUCAGUUGGAGGGCCAAUAGUGCCAGACCCUGGAGCUCCCCAGGGGCCGAUGGGAGCCUGAGCCUGAGCCAGGGGGAGGGGAGGCUAAGCCAUCCCAGCAGGUUUCCCGUGGGAGCCACGUGCUGCUAUAGAUGGAGCUACUACCUGGUCCAGAGCCCACCACUGAAGGGGCUGGGCAGCUCCUGGGAGCACUGCCUGUGGCAUGAUAUUGCCCAGGACGAAGAGUGACCAGGCUUCUCCAGAUCCUUCUCAAUCAGAUCAGAGGGCAGGAGUGGCUGGAAACCGAGAGCCCCCGAUACAGAUAAACUGGGACUGAUGCCCGUGUUGGCCCAGCCUGGCCAGUGCUGCUGGCUGCCUCCAGGUUCGCUCUUGGGGUCAAUGCCUUCACCCACUAUCCCACUGACCUGCAUAAAAAUUACCCAGCCCCAGAUCUCCAUGGACACCAACAUUCUCGCCAUCGCCAUUGCCACAGUGUCAUCCUUCGUGUUUGUCCUGGCCAUCUUGCUGCUGCUGCUCUACCAGCGGGAACCCCGGUGCUGCCAGUUCCUCUGCUCCUGCCGCUUCUUCCAGGGUCCUAGCCAGUGUGACUGUCCCCCUCCCUACUUUAGCAAUAACCAGGACUUGGUGGGACCCCCAGCCAGAUCCCAGCCAUCAGAGAGGAUGAGAACUAGAAUGCAGGGGCAUUUCCAGAGUGAUGAAAUAUUCUGCGUGGGACUGCCCAACAACUACCAGCUACCCCCCUGGCGCCCCCCACAUCUUCCCAGCUAUGAGAGUGUGCGAAAGAAGGACCGGCAGCAACAGAUCCACCGGCUGAUUGCACAUCGUUUUGGACUAUGGGCCUGCAGAGAGGUGCUCCUGUCUUAACAAUCACUUCUUUAGGGUUUCCAAGAAGUCACCCCUAACCCUC